AUGGAUCCGGACAAGAAGAAGAUGUUCGAAGUGAUAAUAAAGAAGAUUCAGCAACAAUCAAGUGCGCUGGAAGAAGCCAUGAAGGCUCAGAAGCCAAAGGUCGACUGCUCAAUGAGUCGAGAGAUGUGCUCUCCGAGUGGCUUGAUCAUAAUCAUGGAAAGGAUGUGAGGGAUCAUAGUGUGUUUGAUGAUCUCGCGAAGACCUACGAAAAGGAGUUCCUAGCCGAUAUGGCUCGUCUCAACGUUCUCCCGGUCGACGUGCUCACCAGAGUCUCCGCUCAAGACUCGAUUGCCACUGAAGAAGCCAAAGGCCGUCUGCUCAAUGAGUCGAGAGAUGUGCUCUCCGAGUGGCUUGAUCAUAAUCAUGGAAAGGAUGCGAGGGAUCAUAGUGUGUUUGAUGAUCUCGCGAAACGUAGGAUUUUCUACUUGGCCGGUCCAUUUUUACAGUCUCAAUGGCACCUUGAGUGCUCUGUAAUAUCCUCUAGUGCAGUCCCGGCAGCUCGAAAUAUCGUGUGGAACGACCAUCUGCGAAUUCGAAGAGAUGCUGCUGUUGCUGCUGCUGCUGCUGUCAACAACACAGCUGGACUUGCUGAUAUGGACCAAGGGACCAGGAUCGAGUUACCAAAAUCAAAGCAUCAAUGGUUAGAUGUAUUCAGACGAUAGAU